UUGAGAAAAAAAAGUAAAUAUCUCAUUAGACACUAUAAGAAUAUCAUCACUUUCUUCUAUAUCACUACCUUGGACCACUGCCACAGUAGCCUUCAUCCGAUCUCUAAGCUGUGGACAAUCUCUGACUUGAUGUCCUAACUCAUCACUCCAGUAGCAUCUAAUCUUGCUGAAGUCUCUCAACUUGGGCCUGGAUUGUCUACCUUAUGAUCUUCUACUCCAUCCUCUGCCUCCACCACCACCUCCAAUCACCACCAAAGUUGGAUUGCCGUCUGAACUCGAAGCUUAGUUCUUCCAUCUGAGAAUCUCAUUCUAGAGAAAUAUAGA
rnacentral:lncRNA from 1 species